rnacentral:rRNA from 1 species
GAUGAACGCUGGCGGCGUGCUUAACACAUGCAAGUCGAACGAAGCACCUUGAUUCGAUUCUUCGGAUGAAGAUCUUGGUGACUGAGUGGCGGACGGGUGAGUAACGCGUGGGUAACCUGCCUCAUACAGGGGGAUAACAGUUAGAAAUGACUGCUAAUACCGCAUAAGACCACAGCACCGCAUGGUGCAGGGGUAAAAACUCCGGUGGUAUGAGAUGGACCCGCGUCUGAUUAGGUAGUUGGUGGGGUAACGGCCUACCAAGCCGACGAUCAGUAGCCGACCUGAGAGGGUGACCGGCCACAUUGGGACUGAGACACGGCCCAAACUCCUACGGGAGGCAGCAGUGGGGAAUAUUGCACAAUGGGGGAAACCCUGAUGCAGCGACGCCGCGUGAGCGAUGAAGUAUUUCGGUAUGUAAAGCUCUAUAAGCAGGGAAGAAAAUGACGGUACCUGACGAAGAAGCACCGGCUAAAUACGUG